rnacentral:rRNA from 1 species
GAUGAACGCUGGCGGCGUGCCUAAUACAUGCAAGUCGAGCGAACAGACGAGGAGCUUGCUCCUCUGACGUUAGCGGCGGACGGGUGAGUAACACGUGGAUAACCUACCUAUAAGACUGGGAUAACUUCGGGAAACCGGAGCUAAUACCGGAUAAUAUAUUUAACCGCAUGGUUCAAUAGUGAAAGACGGUUUUGCUGUCACUUAUAGAUGGAUCCGCGCCGCAUUAGCUAGUUGGUAAGGUAACGGCUUACCAGGGCCACGAUGCGUAGCCGACCUGAGAGGGUGAUCGGCCACACUGGAACUGAGACACGGUCCAGACUCCUACGGGAGGCAGCAGUAGGGAAUCUUCCGCAAUGGGCGAAAGCCUGACGGAGCAACGCCGCGUGAGUGAUGAAGGUCUUCGGAUCGUAAAACUCUGUUAUUAGGGAAGAACAAAUGUGUAAGUAACUAUGCACGUCUUGACGGUACCUAAUCAGAAAGCCACGGCUAACUACGUG